GACGAACGCUGGCGGCGUGCCUAAUACAUGCAAGUCGAGCGAACAGACGAGGAUCUUGCGCUUCUGACGUUAGCGGCGGACGGGUGAGUAACACGUGGAUAACCUAUCUAUAAGACUGGGAUAACUUCGGCAAACCGGAGCUAAUACCGGAUAAUAUAUUGAACCGCAUGGUUCAAUAGUGAAAGACGGUUUUGCUGUCACUUAUAGACGUAUCCGCGCCGCAUUAGCUAGUUGGUAAGGUAACGGCUUACCAAGGCAACGAUGCGUAGCCGACCUGAGAGGGUGAUCGGCCACACUGGAACUGAGACGCGGUCCAGACUCCUACGGGCGGCAGCAGUAGGGAAUCUUCCGCAAUGGGCGAAAGCCUGACGGAGGAGCGCCGCGUGAGUGAUGAAGGUCUUCGGGUCGUAAAACUCUGUUAUUAGGGAAGAACAAAUGUGUAAGUAACUAUGCACGUCUUGACGGUACCUAAUCAGAAAGCCACGGCUAACUACGUG
rnacentral:rRNA from 1 species